UACGAGGGGUGCAAACGUUAUUCGGAAUCACUGGGCGUAAAGGGUGCGUAGACGGUAAUAUAAGUCAAUUAUUAAAUCUCCUGGCUUAACUAGGAAUCUGUGAUUGAAACUAUGUUACUUGAGGAUGGAAGAGAGAAGUGGAAUUCUCGGAGUAGCGGUAAAAUGCGUAGAUCUCGAGAGGAACACCGAUGGCGAAGGCAGCUUCUUGGUCCAUUUCUGACGUUGAGGCACGAAAGCGUGGGGAGCAAACAGG
rnacentral:rRNA from 1 species